rnacentral:misc_RNA from 1 species
CCCCUUUCGUUCCAUAUAUUGAGGAGCUCCAUUGAUGGUGCAGUUCCAACUACUCCAGGGUGAGUCAAACCUGGAAAUCGUACCCCCGGUAUGUGAGGAGAGUAGGCAUAUAUUCCUUCAAAAUACCAAAUAGCUUUGGUUGCACAAGGGAAAUGAUCAGUCAAAAAACCUCCUCCAUUUUCUCUAUCAAAUGUUGCAGUAAAACCCCAUUCAUCUCCAGGAAGAGGACCCAAGUUGCAAAUUUCAACCACAAGGAGAUCACCUGGCUUGGCUGGAGUUCCUUCCUUGUCCAGAAUUUUGAUUGGUCCACUGAGAUAAUGGACAAUAGAAGGAUCAGCAUGUUUGAUGUCCUCUGCAGAGUUUUCUUGUGUAAUUCUACCCCCACUGAAGUCCACCAUCUCAAUCCUAAAAAGCUCUCCAGUCGUGACCUCCGCGACCGGGGGUAUGUCCGGAUGCCACCGGUUGUGAAGGGGGAGUUUUUGCUCCCAUGGCUUCUUCUUCACAUCUAUAGGAAAGACCAGUCUUGCACCAUAUUUAGCCAUAAAGCUGUAGCCAAAGUGUGAAUCUUGAAAUUACAAAGAAAGUUAGGUAUGUGAAGAAGGAAAAGUAUACUUGUACUAGCUGAAGUAGUGCUGAU